GACGAACGCUGGCGGCGUGCUUAACACAUGCAAGUCGAACGGAAAGGCCCUGCUUUUGUGGGGUGCUCGAGUGGCGAACGGGUGAGUAACACGUGAGUAACCUGCCCUUAACUUUGGGAUAACUUCAGGAAACUGGGGCUAAUACCGCAUAGGAGCUCCUGCAGCAUGUUGGGGGUUGGAAAGUUUCGGCGGUGGGGGAUGGACUCGCGGCUUAUCAGCUGGUUGGUGGGGUAGGUGCUUACCAAGGCUUUGAAGGGUAGCCGGCCUGGGAGGGUGACCGGCCACAUUGGGACUGAGAUACGGCCCAGAAGCCUACGGGAGGCAGCAGUGGGGAAUAUUGCACAAUGGGCGGAAGCCUGAUGCAGCAACGCCGCGUGCGGGAUGACGGCCUUCGGGUUGUAAACCGCUUUCGCCUGUGACGAAGCGUGAGUGACGGUAAUGGGUAAAGAAGCACCGGCUAACUACGUG
rnacentral:rRNA from 1 species